GAACCAGGCUGUUUAAGGCCACGUCUGAUGCUAAACCAUGUAGAAAGAAGUGUGGAAAACAAGUGGUCAUCUGGAUGACAGGCGACCGGUCAGAAACAGCCUAAAGAAGCGCUUUGGCAUCUGUUUGCCCGCUGCUGUCUGGGUCUGGCACAGGAGAAGCACGGCGGACGGAUCAGAGCAGCCUGGCGGCAGCCUCCUCCUCCUCGUUCACUCUUGGCUUUAUGAAGGUCAUCUCCUCCCUGCUGCAUCUGCUGUGCUGCAACAGCGCCUCCGUCUGGACCAACGCUGCUACUGUAGAUAUCAGCUGCUUCACUGGGG
ensembl:lncRNA